rnacentral:misc_RNA from 1 species
CAAUGGGAAAAAACUGCUCAAGCCCAGAGCGGAUGGAAUUGUGCUAAAAUGCUUGGAUUUGGUGAUCUUGGUGGUCCUCCACUGUCUAUUGCUGAAGAAUACUCUCUUCACUCUAGAUACCUUGCUAAAGCAAAUUCUCUUAAUCUUUCUGAAAUUGCAGAGAUGAAAAUUGUUUAUCGUGGUGGGGUAGACAGUGAGGGCCGUCCUGUAAUGGUUGUUGUGGGAGCACAUUUUUUACUGCGAUGUCUUGACCUGGAGCGAUUUGUGCUUUAUGUGGUGAAGGAAUUUGAGCCCAUAAUACAGAAGCCUUAUACAAUUGUAUAUUUCCAUUCUGCAGCGUCUUUACAGCUUCAACCAGACUUGGGAUGGAUGAGAAGAUUACAACAGAUACUUGGUCGGAAACACCAGCGGAACCUGCAUGCAAUACAUGUUCUUCAUCCUACUUUUCAUCUGAAGGCUACAAUUUUUGCUCUGCAAUUAUUUGUU